ACAGGGUCUCACUCUGUUGCCCAGGAUCCUUAGCCUCCCGAGUAGCUGGGAUUACAGGUGCAUGCCACCACACCCAGCUAAUUUUUGUAUUUUUAAUAGAGAUGAGGUUUCACCCUGUUGACUAGGCUGGUCUUGAACUCAGUCUUGUUCUGUCACCCAAGCUGGAGUGCAGUGGCACAAUCUCAGGUCACUGCAACCACCGCCUCACAUGAAGAAAGCCAAGAGCACUGGUAAAGAUAAUUAUGUAAUCGUAAAUACAGUAUAACUGCACAUUUCUUCUCCUUUCUUAACUGAUUAAAAAAUCAAUUGUAUAAAUAAUCAAGCCAUCAGGAAUCUAUAACAGUUAUACACAUACCUAAUAACUGAGCACAAAAAAUACCUGAAGCGAAAAGUGACAGAAGUGAAGGGAAAAGUAGACAAUUCAGCAAUAAUAUUUAUAGAUUUCAGUACCUCACUUUCAAGAAUGGAGAGAUGAUCUAGGCAGAUCAACAAGGAAACAAAACACUUUACUAACAAUAUAAAACAAUUAGACCUAACAGACAUCUACAGAACACUCUCCCCAACCUCCACAGAAUACACACUGUUCUCAAAUGUACUUUGAAAUUCAUUAGGAUAGAGCAUAUAUGCUAGGCUAUAAAACAAU
rnacentral:lncRNA from 10 species